rnacentral:miRNA from 1 species
GGGCACCUCUUACUUGGCAUG